CGUGUAGGCGGGACUGUAAGUCAGAUGUGAAAUCCCGAGGCUUAACUUCGGGGCUGCAUCUGAAACUAUGGUUCUUGAGUGCUGGAGAGGAAAGCGGAAUUCCUAGUAUAGCGGUGAAAUGCGUAGAUAUUAGGAGGAACACCAGUGGCGAAGGCGGCUUUCUGGACAGUAACUGACGCUGAGGCGCGAAAGCGUGGGGAGCAAACAGGAUUAGAUACCCUGGUAGUCCACGCUGUAAACGAUGGAUACUAGGUGUAGGAGGUAUCGACCCCUUCUGUGCCGGAGUUAACACAAUAAGUAUCCCACCUGGGGAGUACGGCCGCAAGGUUGAA
rnacentral:rRNA from 1 species